rnacentral:rRNA from 1 species
GACGAACGCUGGCGGCGUGCUUAACACAUGCAAGUCACGGGGGCCUCGCAAGGGGCAACCGGCGAACGGGUGCGUAACACGUGAGCGACCUGCCGUACCUGUGGGGGAUAGCCGGCCCAACGGCCGGGUAAUACCGCAUACGUUCGCGUCCGGGCAUCCGGGCGCGAGGAAAGCCGGGGGCGACCCUGGCGCGGGACGAGGGGCUCGCGGCCUAUCAGCUUGUUGGUGGGGUAACGGCCUACCAAGGCGACGACGGGUAGCUGGUCUGAGAGGAUGGCCAGCCACAUUGGGACUGAGAGACGGCCCAGACUCCUACGGGAGGCAGCAGUGGGGAAUCUUGCGCAAUGGCCUGAGGGCUGACGCAGCGACGCCGCGUGUGGGAGGACGCCCUUCGGGGUGUAAACCACUGUUGCCCGGGACGAAACGUGCGCAUUGGCGCACUUGACGGUACCGGGUGAGGAAGCACCGGCUAACUCCGUGCCAGCAGCCGCGGUAAUACGGAGGGUGCGAGCGUUGUCCGGAAUCACUGGGCGUAAAGGGCGCGUAGGCGGCCGUGCAAGCGUGGGGUGAAAGUCCUGGGCUCAACCCCGGAUCGGCCUUGCGGACUGCGCGGCUGGAGCACUGUAGAGGCGGGUGGAAUUCCGGGUGUAGCGGUGGAAUGCGUAGAGAUCCGGAAGAACACCGGUGGCGAAGGCGGCCCGCUGGGCAGUGGCUGACGCUGAGGCGCGACAGCGUGGGGAGCAAACAGGAUUAGAUACCCUGGUAGUCCACGCCGUAAACGAUGGGCACUAGGUGCUUGGGGGAGCGACCCUCCGAGUGCCGGCGCUAACGCAUUAAGUGCCCCGCCUGGGGAGUACGGCCGCAAGGCUGA